rnacentral:lncRNA from 1 species
UCUGAGCAUAUAUAAGAUGUUCGCAUAGUAAGUUUUAAUGUAUGAUUGUUUUCAUAUACCCUUUUACUUUUUAAUCCAGUUCAGGUGAAAAAUAUUGUUUAGAUGAUUGUGAAAAUGCAGGCUACAUUUUUAAAUGUUCAUAAGGUUUGUGAACAUACAAUUUACUACAUGAAGGAUGUGCCUGGCUUCCAUGUUGAAGUAGUAGGACUAUUUCCACAUAUGCGAGAGAAGAACUAUGAUCGGGUAAACUGAACCGCACUGGUGCUAAUUUUAUCCUUUGUUUAUUGUAUCCAAAAUAUGAAUUCUGUUGGUUGCAUCAUUUCUUUUGACAGAAUCAUUCUCGUGUAAUUUGUGCAGAGGUACUAUGUAUGCUUGAUCCAAUUUAGACAUCAACAAUUAUGUAUCUAAAAGCUGGAGUGCUCCUUGAACAUUGUACUGUAUAUAUGAUUGAAAUGAGUUGCAUGUUGUCGGUGACGGCGAGUUGAACCAAUGGAAGUGGUUGUAAUGGUAAGAUAGAGAAGAUGGCCGUGGGAGAAAAAGAGGACGGCAGUAAUGGUAAAGAAGAGAAGAUCAUUGAUGUAAAAGGAGGACAUGUGUUGGACCUAGCAUGUCUAAAUACAAGCAUGUGGUCAUAAGUAUUUUCUUUUCCUUACAAACGAGAGUUGGUUAUUUGGCUUCACAACCUCCAUAUUUCAAUUUGGCAUGCAACGACAUGUACAUGCAUGUUUUGUCCUCAGGUGAAGACUUUAAUUGGUUAGUCUAUUAGUCUAUUUUUUCAAACGGAGGCAAAAGAUU